UACAGAGGGUGCAAGCAUUAAUCGGAUUUAUUGGGCGUAAAGAGCGCGUAGGCGGGUUUUUAAGUCAGAUGUGAAAUCCUGGGGCUCAACCCCAGAACAGCAUUUGAAACUGGAAAUCUUGAGGGUAGUCGGAGAAAAUGGAAUUCCACGUGUAGCGGUGAAAUGCGUAGAUAUGUGGAAGAACACCGGUGGCGAAGGCGAUUUUCUAGAUUAUUCCUGACGCUGAGGCGCGAAAGCAAGGGGAUCAAACAG
rnacentral:rRNA from 1 species